CAGUCGACGCUUUGUGGUUCACUGAUUUGAAGAGCUUGCUCAGAUAUGACGAUGGACAUUGCAAAGAGUGGCGAACGGGUGAGUAACACGUGGGAAACCUACCUCUUAGCAGGGGAUAACAUUUGGAAACAGAUGCUAAUACCGUAUAACAAUGACAACCGCAUGGUUGUUAUUUAAAAGAUGGUUCUGCUAUCACUAAGAGAUGGUCCCGCGGUGCAUUAGCUAGUUGGUAAGGUAAUGGCUUACCAAGGCGAUGAUGCAUAGCCGAGUUGAGAGACUGAUCGGCCACAAUGGGACUGAGACACGGCCCAUACUCCUACGGGAGGCAGCAGUAGGGAAUCUUCCACAAUGGGCGAAAGCCUGAUGGAGCAACGCCGCGUGUGUGAUGAAGGGUUUCGGCUCGUAAAACACUGUUGUAAGAGAAGAAUGACAUUGAGAGUAACUGUUCAAUGUGUGACGGUAUCUUACCAGAAAGGAACGGCUAAAUACGUGCCAGCAGCCGCGGUAAUACGUAUGUUCCAAGCGUUAUCCGGAUUUAUUGGGCGUAAAGCGAGCGCAGACGGUUAUUUAAGUCUGAAGUGAAAGCCCUCAGCUCAACUGAGGAAUUGCUUUGGAAACUGGAUGACUUGAGUGCAGUAGAGGAAAGUGGAACUCCAUGUGUAGCGGUGAAAUGCGUAGAUAUAUGGAAGAACACCAGUGGCGAAGGCGGCUUUCUGGACUGUAACUGACGUUGAGGCUCGAAAGUGUGGGUAGCAAACAGGAUUAGAUACCCUGGUAGUCCACACCGUAAACGAUGAGUGCUAGGUGUUUGAGGGUUUCCGCCCUUAAGUGCCGCAGCUAACGCAUUAAGCACUCCGCCUGGGGAGUACGACCGCAAGGUUGAAACUCAAAGGAAUUGACGGGGACCCGCACAAGCGGUGGAGCAUGUGGUUUAAUUCGAAGCAACGCGAAGAACCUUACCAGGUCUUGACAUCCCUUGACAACUCCAGAGAUGGAGCGUUCCCUUCGGGGACAAGGUGACAGGUGGUGCAUGGUUGUCGUCAGCUCGUGUCGUGAGAUGUUGGGUUAAGUCCCGCAACGAGCGCAACCCUUAUUACUAGUUGCCAGCAUUCAGUUGGGCACUCUAGUGAGACUGCCGGUGACAAACCGGAGGAAGGUGGGGAUGACGUCAAAUCAUCAUGCCCCUUAUGACCUGGGCUACACACGUGCUACAAUGGCGUAUACAACGAGUUGCCAACCCGCGAGGGUGAGCUAAUCUCUUAAAGUACGUCUCAGUUCGGAUUGUAGGCUGCAACUCGCCUACAUGAAGUCGGAAUCGCUAGUAAUCGCGGAUCAGCACGCCGCGGUGAAUACGUUCCCGGGUCUUGUACACACCGCCCGUCACACCAUGAGAGUUUGUAACACCCAAAGCCGGUG
rnacentral:rRNA from 1 species